UAAAAAUCCUAAAUCAGAAUGAUAGUAAAAUAAUGGAAAUAAAGGGUAUUUGGGUAAAAUACAAAAUACUAGUAGUAUAGGAUGAGGAAAAUAAUAAGCGGAUAUAGGUUGAGUGGAGAAGAAGAAAUAGAUGAAGGUGUUUGCUCAUAUUUUUGUAAGGAAUAUAUUACAAAUAAUGAUGAUGCUUUAAUGCACUUAAAUAUUAUUUUAAAAAUAAAAAAGAUGAGUUGAAAAAUAGGUUAUAAAAUAUAGUUACCAGUUCAAAAAAAAAAAAAGUUAUAAGUAGUUUUUCAAACGCA